AAUUUGAACACUUUAAAUGAAUAUUUUGAAUAUGAAAAACCCAAGUACUUUGAAAAAGAAGAAAAAUAUUCUGAGAGUGGUGAAGAUUGCAUGGGGGGAGGGGUACCCAAUUUUCCAAGUAAAAUUAAACAACUAAGGCUCCUCACUUCUAUUUCUUUACCUGUUAUUACAUUGGUUUUGGCAAGUACCGAGCUGUUGCAGUUCCCGUCCCCUGCCAGUACAGUCACAGUGUAGUCCUCCCCACACUGCAGCUGGGUCAGCUCACAGGAAGUGCCGUUAGAAUAACAGGACUUGACGAGUCCGCUGGCCUCAGCAAGGACUGUGUAAUAAUUUGCUCCAGCGCUGGCCCCCCAAGUCACCGUCACCACGCCGGAGAGGCAGUUCAGGGCAGCGGUCACAUUAGUAGGGUCACAGGGUGCUAAAGAAGGGAGGGAAAGAUGAGCAUUAUACCUGUAAUUAUAUUAAGAAUUAUUUACUAUACUCAUGGAAUUCAACUGUUUGUAUAUUUUGACAGUGUUGGUCUGACUGCAGCAUCAGCUUUACUUUGUCAGCUGUACUUAGACUCAGCUGUGCUUUGAGCUGAAUGCUAACUAUGUACAGCAGCAAUUACAUUAAAUGUUUUGCUGUAAAUGCCUCUAGAAACUCAAACAUCCUAAAUGAAAAAAGAGGUCCUACAGUAAUAGCUUCCACACUGAAUAAUAAUAAAUAAAAGGCUCAGAUUUCUACGUUACUAAAAGUGUGCAUUUACCGGUUCUCGCUGAGAUUGUGGUACUCUUAGAGCUGUUACACUGGUCGUUUUGGGCCACCACACUCAUCAUGUACGUCUGAGCGCACUGCAGAUUAGGGAAGAGGCAGCUCUUGGCAGUUGUAGUGCAGGAAGAAGAGGGACCUCCCAUUCUGUUCAAUGUAGAGAUGUAGGAUGCUGCGCCGGCAGCUGCAUCCCAGGACGCCUGUAACGUGUUAGUGGAGCAGUUCACAACACCUUGGACGUUCACAGGAACACAAGGAACUAAGAGAGAAAUUGUGGUGGAUUAAAGGCACAAGAGGAAGAAGGAGAGAACCACGUUACUAUCAUGAGAUCAUGUCCUUCAGUUUGCUGGAUUUUCUGUUUGGUAAACCGACAAACUUACCAGAAUUAACAAUUUUCGGCACACUGGUUUGUCCUUCACAUGUGCUGCUGAUGGCUUUGAUCGUCACAUUGUACUGCUGUCCACACUGUAAAUUAGGCAUCGUACAACUUGAAUCCUUUGUCAUGCAGCUAAGUGUAGUGCCGUCUCCAGCCAGGGCGGUGGCGCUGUAGUUUAAUGGCAUGGAUCCAGGCGCCCAGCUGAUGGUCAGUAUGUUGGUGCUACAGUUCAGGGUGUUGAGCACACUCUCCACAGCACAUGGGGCUGAUAGGAGAGCACAGAGUGAGACUCAGUGGUAGUUUAUUUUUUUGGGCUACUUACAGAAGCACACUCCUAGAUGUAUGGUGCUGAAAUCUUAUUGUCACCUUAGUUAUGCACUUAUCUGAGUAAAGUAGUUGCACUACACUACUGUUUGCUCACAUAACAAUACUGUUUCCAGGUUAGACGAUUAGCUAUAUUUGGAGAGUGGCUUCUCUUCUCUCUUUCAGUUUUCCAACAGCACAGGAAACACUAGUGGAUAAAGACCUACAGUAGUUGGCAAAACAAUAUGACAACAAAGCCUAUUUAGUAGCUGUUCUGGAGCUUUCAGUUGUAUCGCACAAUCUUCCUCAGUAAAAAGAAUUUGCCAAUCUGUCAAUGAGCUCCAGACCAGAACAGCUACUCAGUGGAUCUUUUGGUGAUAUUGCUUUGUCAACUAAUGUUUUUUGGAUGGAUUUUCUGGCUCAGGGGGUGGAGCGGGCCGUCCUUUAACCACAAGGUUGACGGUUUGAUCCUCAGCUCCUCCUGUCCGUAUGUCGAAGUGUCCUUGAGCUAAGUUAGAAAAGCGCUAUAUAAAUGCAGGCCAUUUACCAUCCAGAAAUCGAGAAAAAAUACAUGAUAAGCAAGGAAGAUAACGAGAGAUAAUGUUAAUGCUAGAGACAAUAGUAAAAAUAAGAUGAUAAGGAUUAGUAAGAAAGGGUUUAGGAAAAAAGCAGAGACGCGACUCCCACUCACCAGUUGUAUAGUUGACCGACAUGCUGUCAGGACUUUGACAGUCGCCAUCUGAGGCUGACACAGUAAAGGUGUAUUUCUUGCCACAUAGCAGAUUAUUCAAUAUGCAACCAAGUUUGAUUCCUGCGUCACAGGUCACAGUGUAUCCGUCUGCGCUCACUGCCUUGCCAGUGUAGGACACUGCAUUGGGGCUGCUGCUCCAGGUUAACACGGCAGAGUUAUUGGCACAGUUCACAGAGACGUUGAGCUGAGAGGGAGGGCAGGGCACUGCAGAGGAAAGGCACAGAACAUAUGGAUGGUUUAGUUGUGAGCUGUUAAAAGGAUAUACAUUUCAAGGAUUUAUUCUUUCUCGUCUCUACCUGUCCGUAGUGUCUCCGCAGAGCUCUCAUUGCUGGUGCAGGUGUCGUCCAUGGCAGUCACCCCAACACUGUAAACCUGGCUGCACUUGAGACCCUCAAACAUGCAUGAAGUCUUAUUUGAAGAGCACAGCAAGCGUUGGCUGUCUUUAUCCACUGCAGCUGCUUGGUAGCGUAGUGCGCCCUGGCUUGCAUUCCAAGUCACUCGCGCAAAACUCUGGCUACAGUUUUUAGUCACCAUCACAUUAGUGGGCACACAUGGUGCUGAGGAAGAGAACAACUCAGAUCAGCUCGGUACAUUGUAGGGAAUUUGUUUCAAAUUAAGAGUACUAGAAACAUAUACAUAAUUUACAAGUUUUUUUAUGAUUGAUUUCACACACCUCAUGUAUGUUGAAACACUAAACAAAAGCAACAUAACACAUUUGUCACAGUGCUCUCUUACUUUCCCUGAUAGAUAACACUGUGGGUCGACUGACACAGGUGCUGUUGAAAGACAUCACUUUCAGUGUGUAAUCAAGUCCACACUUCAGUGUGGUGAUCGUCAGCCCAGGCAUCGUGGUGGUGUAGGACAUGUUCCAGUUGGACACCACAACUAUGUAGCCUUCUGCGUUACUCGUCGCAUUCCAGCUGAGAGUCAGUACUUGUGACCGGCAGUCUAAUUUGGCGUUCACGUUGGGCCCACAAGGAACUGGACAGAGAGAAGAGAGAAAGUUUUGUUCAUUUCAAAGGACACCCAAGCAGCUAUACGGUACAAUAACCUAGAAGAAGAAAACUGAGCAGCCUCACAGUACCUGUCUCUAUGGCGACCAUCUCACUGUCAGAGCUGUUGCACACAAAGUUGGAGGCAAUGACGUACGCCGUGUAGUUGGUGCUGCACUUCAAGCCCUUGAUCUUACACGUCAAAUCCAUGGCGUUGCAGCUAUGAAUGACACCAUCACUGUCCAUUGCCAUGGCGACGUAGAAAAUUGCACCGCCGGAGAUUGACCAGGUCAAUGUGAUGGAGUCGCCUCCACAUUCCUUCACUGCCGAUACGUUCUGGGGAACGCAUGGGACUAGAGGAGAAGGGAAAAAUCAACAUGACAAUACAUUCUACCUUUAAACCUUUUCACAGCUGCACAUGGUCAGAGUUGAGUUUGCCAGUCCAUCCCGACUCACAAUCCUACCUGAUUGAUGGCUUACACUUUCUUUUGUCUUUGCCACAGGCCCCAGCGUCCUCGGGCUGGCACAUUUGUCGUCAAAAGCUGUGAUGUAAAUGGACAAGACGUCUCCACACUGGAUGCCCUCUAUUGCGCAGCUGUUGGACAUUGAGCUGCAGUUGUAGUAGCUUUUGAUUCUUGUGUUGCUGAAGCCCUCUACCAUGUAAUAUAUAGCACCCUCAGCGAGGUCCCACUUGCUGAGCAGAACAUCUGAGUUGCAGUCGGCUGAGGUUUGCAUAUUCUGGGGAAUACAGGGUGCUGGAGACAGUAAAAGUGAUUUUGAUUAAUCUUUAGUUGUUGUUUUUUUGUCAAUUUAUAAAAGUCAAUAACUCCAAAUUGCCACCUAAAGAAAGAGCCAAACAUUUUUUUGCCGUUUUGAAGAUUUUACAGAAUCCAUCACAUGAGAAUGAACAACUGUCACAGAGCUCAGUUCAGAUACUCACUAAUGUUUUAAAUUGUGUUGUGCAAAACUCUCAAGAACUAUACAUUAUGGAAAUGUAUUUGCUAUAUAACCAGGGUUCAAAAUUAACUUUUUCGUUCACCAGCGAAAUGGCUAGUAAAUGUUCAAAUUUGACCAGUUUUUUUGGCUGGUGAGUGAAGAAAAUCUACCAGCCACUUGCAUAUUUUAGCAGCAUUUGGCUGGUGGAUGAUGCUCAUUUUGAACCCUGACUGUAACCCUUUGUCAAAUGGUUGUCAAAGAAAAACAGUGACUUUACGUUUUAUUUUAAUACUUUUUAGGGGGUUCAGGAGAUCAAAUUAUUUUUCUAGAUAAAGCAAAUUAAGAAAAAGAUACAUAAAGUUAUGUUUCGUUAUACAAAAUUGUAUGGGUAUGUGUGUAUCUACUGCUAUGUCGAGAUAAUGUAGUCAUACCUGUGCGCAUGUCAACAGUAGAGCUAAUCUGGCUACUGCACUGCCCUGAGAUGGAGUAGACUGUGAAGUAAUAGUGUUGUCCACACACUGUUUGUGUGAAAUAGCAGGAGUUUUCUUCAGUCAGACACUUCAGGACUUUUCCCUACAGAGAAAUCACAAGGUAUUUCCUAUGUAACUAUAUUACAGACAGGUAUUGUUCCGUGUUUUGAGACAUAUGCUCAUUUGCUUU